rnacentral:rRNA from 1 species
UGCGCAGGCGGUCCCGCAAGUCAGGCGUGAAAUCCCCGGGCUUAACCUGGGAAUGGCACUUGAAACUACGGGACUAGAGUGUGGCAGAGGGAGGUGGAAUUCCACGUGUAGCGGUGAAAUGCGUAGAUAUGCGGAGGAACACCAAUGGCGAAGGCAGCCUCCUGGGUCAACACUGACGCUCAUGCACGAAAGCGUGGGGGAGCAAACA